GAUGAAGAACGUAGCGAAAUGCGAUAAGUAGUGUGAAUUGCAGAAUUCAGUGAAUCAUCGAAUCUUUGAACGCACAUUGCGCCCCAUGGUAUUCCGUGGGGCAUGCCUGUUCGAGCGUCAUUUACCCCCUCAAGCUCCGCUUGGUGUUGGGCGUCUGUCCCGCUUCGCGCGCGGACUCGCCCCAAAGGUAUUGGCAGCGGUGGUGCCAGCUUCUCGCGCAGCACAUUGCGCUUCUCGAGGCACCGGUGGGCCCGCGUCCAUCAAGCUCACCCCCCCAGUUUGACCUCGGAUCAGGUAGGGAUACCCGCUGAACUUAAGCAUAUCAAUAAGCGGAGGA
rnacentral:misc_RNA from 1 species